rnacentral:rRNA from 1 species
UACGUAGGGUGCGAGCGUUGUCCGGAAUUACUGGGCGUAAAGAGCUCGUAGGUGGUUUGUCGCGUUGUUCGUGAAAACUCACAGCUCAACUGUGGGCGUGCGGUCGAUACGGGCAUCACUGGAGUUCGGCAGGGGAGACUGGAAUUCCUGGUGUAGCGGUGAAAUGCGCAGAUAUCAGGAAGAACACCCGUGGCGAAGGCGGCUCUCUGGGACGGUACUGACGCUGAGACGCGAAAGCGUGGGGAGCGAACAGG